AAUGAACGCUGGCGGCGUGCCUAAUACAUGCAAGUCGAGCGAACAGACGAGGAGCUUUCUCCUCUUACGUUCGCGUCGGACGGGUGAGUAACACGUGUAUAACCUACCUUUAAGACUGGGAUAACUUCCUGAAACCGGAGCUAAUACCGGAUAAUAUAUUGAACCGCAUGGUUCAGUAGUUAAAGACGGUUUUGCUGUCACUUAUCGCUGGAUCCGCUCGGCAUUAGCUAGUUGGUAAGGUAACGGCUUACCAAGGCAACGAUGCGUAGCCGACCUGAGAGGGUGAUCGGCCACACUGGAACUGAGACACGGUCCAGACUCCUACGGGAGGCAGCAGUAGGGAAUAUUGCGCAAUGGGCGAAAGCCUGACGGAGCAACGCCGCGUGAAUGAUGAAGGUCUUCGGAUCGUAAAAUACUGUCAGCAGGGAAGAAGAAAUGUGUAAGUAACUAUGCACGUCUUGACGGUACCUAAUCAGAAAGCAACGGCUAACUACGUG
rnacentral:rRNA from 1 species